rnacentral:SRP_RNA from 1 species
GACGGGCCUCCCCGCAUGGAAGCGCGCCCAACCGGGUCAGAUGGGGAACCAAGCAGCCCUAAGCGUUGCAACCAGUGCCGGGGUCAGGCUCGUCACC